rnacentral:lncRNA from 1 species
GGCGGAAGAUAAGUUGGAGGAAUUGACAUCUUUGCAGAUAAAACAUAUGGCUAUCUUUAAAAUUAGACUAAAGAAAUGAGAAAGUAGUGCAUUACAUUGCUGUGUGGAUAAAAGUGGAAGGAGCUCUCUAUAGCAUGUUGAUUUAUCAAAAACCAUCUGUGAAUGAUCAUCUAGGGAUUAUUAGCUGAAUGGGCUAAUAAUCUCUAAAUGGUCUGAGAAUUCUCUCUCAUACAAAAAAGCCACAUUCUGUACAUAUUUCUGUAUCACUCACUGCAAUACAUUAGAAGCAAGGAAAGUUGAGAUUGAUAAAAUAUGAGAGACAAGAAUAAAAUAUGGUUAAACAAAAUUCUUUUAUGAAAUCAGUACAAUUGAAGGUUGAAAAAUAUAUAGCUAAGAAAAAUGAAGGACAAGUCAACCACAACGAAGAGUCUAGAGAAUUGGGAAAUGAUACAUAAUGACAUAUUUCAAUUCCAUAUCAUAUGACAAAAUAUGCAACGUCAAAAAGUUAGUUAGAAAACAGAAGAAAAGUAUGGUUUGUAAAAGAGCAUCCACAGUUUUUACCUUAUUAAGAAAUGAGAAAGACAAAAGGCAUAAUUUCCAAAAAACUAGAAUAUACCAAGUUACAGUCUAUAACAAGGACCUUAAUAAGGAAGAAUUCUACAUAGGUGUAACAAAGAGGAAUUUGACGAAAAGGAUUGAUUAGCACAAGAAUGAUAUAAGAAUAACAAACAUGAGAACUGUGCUGACAAGAAAAUUCUAUGAGUCUAAUAUAGAAAUAAACUGGGAAGAAUCAAAAAUUAUUAAGGAAAAACAUAAUAAUUUCUAUUAUACUGUUUUUUCACACACAGUAAAUACUAUAAAUAGCUCAACACACGUUGCAGUCGUGACAUAGGGCUGGUUUAAUAUAUCGAAC